rnacentral:rRNA from 1 species
GUAGGGAAUAUUGCACAAUGGGCGAAAGCCUGAUGCAGCAACGCCGCGUGCACGAUGAAGGCCUUCGGGUUGUAAAGUGCUUUUUGUGGAGAUGAGGAAGGACAGUAUCCUCAGAAUAAGAAUCGGCUAACUACGUGCCAGCAGCCGCGGUAACACGUAGGAUUCAAGCGUUAUCCGAAUUUACUGGGCGUAAAGCGCGUGCAGGUGGUUUGGUAAGUUGGAUGUGAAAGCUCCUGGCUCAACUGGGAGAGGCUGUUCAAAACUACCAGACUAGAGGACGGUAGAGGGAGGUGGAAUUCCCGGUGUAGUAGUGAAAUGCGUAGAUAUCGGGAGGAACACCAGUGGCGAAGGCGGCCUCCUGGACCGUUCCUGACGCUCAGACGCGAAAGCUAGGGGAGCGAACGGGAUUAGAUACCCGAGUAGUCC